AUUGAACGCUGGCGGCAGGCUUAACACAUGCAAGUCGAACGCCCCGCAAGGGGAGUGGCAGACGGGUGAGUAACGCGUGGGCAUCUACCUGGAACUACGGAACAACUGAGGGAAACUUCAGCUAAUACCGUAUACGCCCUACGGGGGAAAGAUUUAUCGGUUUCAGAUGAGCCCGCGUAAGAUUAGCUAGUUGGUGGGGUAAUGGCCUACCAAGGCGACGAUCUUUAGCUGGUCUGAGAGGAUGAUCAGCCACACUGGGACUGAGACACGGCCCAGACUCCUACGGGAGGCAGCAGUGGGGAAUAUUGGACAAUGGGCGCAAGCCUGAUCCAGCCAUGCCGCGUGAGUGAUGAAGGCCUUAGGGUUGUAAAGCUCUUUCAGUGGGGAAGAUAAUGACGGUACCCACAGAAGAAGCCCCGGCUAACUUCGUGCCAGCCGCCGCGGUAAGAC
rnacentral:rRNA from 1 species